rnacentral:rRNA from 1 species
AUGGAGACAGCGCAGGAAAGAGAGCUGCCGCAGCUGCCGCUGCAGCUGCAGGGGUGGCCUUUCCACGCCAUGCCGCCCAGCUUCGACGCCGGCAGCGGCGCCUACAGCAGCGGCGGCAGCAGCAGCAUGAGCAGCGAUUCCUUCCUGCUCGGGUGGGAGCCGCCGUUCGGCGGCUGCUUCGGCCUCGCCGACGCGCAGCUCCACGACCUCUUCCCCCUCUGCAUGAUGGAGCCGCUCCCGCUGUCGCCGGCCGCGACGUCCACGGCGGCGGACCUCCCAUCGGAGCAGCAGGUCCCGGCGCCGGCGGCAAUGUCCAACGGGGAGCUCGGCGACCUCCUGCUGAAUUUCUGGGACGCCGGUGAUGCCAGCGACCGGCCGGUCGCAAUCAAUUCAGGCUGCGUGGCACCGCAGCACGAGAAGAGCAGCCAGAGCAGCGCUGCCACGGCCACGAACUCUUUCCUCUAUGAUGAGGACGAUCUUUUGGGCUCCAUUUUCUCCAAGAGGCCCACCUUGGGAGAAGAACCACCCGUGCUCCUCCUCGCCCCGGCGGAGGCGGAGCCCCUCCUCAGCGCCUCCUCCUCCUCCAGCUGCCACGCGGACCCACCUGCCAGCGACGCCGGCGGGGCCCGGGCGCAGGGCACCACCACCGAGCCAAGUGGCGCGCGGGCCCCGCCCCUCCCUCGCUCCUCCUCCUCGUCGUUGAAACGCGCGACACCGGAAGCAGCAUCGGACUCGGCGGAGGCGGAGUGCAGCCAGAGCGGCGGCAAGCGGCGGAAGGUGUCGGCGAGCGUGCUGUGCCCGUUCGCCGUGCUGAAGCCCGACGGGCUGGACGGCGGCGCGACGCUGGCGGACAUCAACGCGCGCAUCCUCAUGCGGCCGGCGCGGCCCGUGCGGCACCCCGUCGGCGAGUACGCGUGCGCGCCGCGCGUGCUGGCGGCCGACGCGCCGGGCAUCUCGGGCAGGGCCGUCUCGGGGUUCACGAGGCUGCACACCCCCGGCCGCGGCACCAUCACCAUCAUGAGGACGCGAGGCUAA